rnacentral:rRNA from 1 species
AUUGAACGCUGGCGGCAGGCCUAACACAUGCAAGUCGAACGAGUGGCGGACGGGUGUGUAAUGUCUGGGAAACUGCCUGAUGGGGGGGGAUAACUACUGGAAACGGUAGCUAAUACCGCAUACCAUCAGAUGUGCCCAGAUGUGAUUUGAUAGUUGGUGGGGUAACGGCUCACCAAGGCGACGAUCCCUAGCUGGUCGGAGAGGAUGACCGGCCACACUGGAACCGCGACAGGUGCCAGACUCCUACGGGAGGCGGCAGUGGGGAAUAUUGCACAAUGAGCGCAAGCCUGAUGCAGCCAUGCCGCGUGUAUGAAGAAGGCCUUCGGGUUGUAAAGUACGUUCAGCGGGGAGGCGUUACCCGCAGAAGAAGCGCCGGCUAACUCCGUGCCAGCCGCCGCGGUAAUUC